rnacentral:lncRNA from 1 species
GAACUCUCAUGUGUCUUAUUGCAGUGAAUUCUCCACUCUCAUCUACAUGUAAUUAUUUUCUGACUCUGAUAAUCAUACAUUAGUUUUGCCUGUCAAGAGUUUCAUAUAAAUGACUUUGUUUUGCUUUUUAACACCGUAAUUCCUGCAGUGUACAUGAUUACAGCACACUGCAUACAUCAGUAGUUUUUUUUCUUUUUAUUGCAAGGUAAGUAUUUCAUUUUAUGUAUACAAAAUGAUAGUAUAUCUGUCUCCUUUUGAUGGGCAUUUGAGUUGUUUCUUGUUUUAGGUGAUUACAAAUAAGACUGCUGUGGAUAUUUUUGUACAAGUUUUUUUGGGAUAUAUGUUUUCAUUUUAUUUGGUCAUAGGAUAGAUGUAAUUUAACUUUGUAAGAGGUAGCCAAACAGUUCUGAAAAAUAGUUAUACCAUCUUAUACUCCCAGGCAAAAUAUUUUUAAACAGAAAAUAGUUACUUUCUAAAAAAUUGCUCUGAGAAUUACAUAAUUUUAAAUAUUCAUCAUGCUCUUUACUGUAAAUCUGUUCUCUAACAUCUUGUCAAAAUAUUCUAAGAGUAAGUUUUUGAAUAUCUUACUACGGCAGUAAGGAGAAAUUGCAAAUUGAUAAGUGCUACCGGAACAGUUUGUGAAAAGAUUUUUCAUUACUAAAUUAAGCAUUAUAUGCAAAUUAACUUAAUAAACUCGUAAGCAAGGUUGGGCAGGAGGUUUCUCUACUUCUUUCCUUAUGUGAGAAGUUACACAUCUAACAGACAGUGAUCUCAGUCUAUGUUUCAUUCAACUGUACCCAUCUUACAACUUCCUUCUUUUCUUUUUUCUUUUUUUUUCCAGCUUCAUCUGUUUGGAAUCAAAAGUGUGAAAGACCUGGAAAUUAAAUCAAAAGAGUGGCAGAAUAAUCCUCCUCACUGACAAAUGAGAAACAACAUUUCACUCUGUGGCCGAGGCUGGAGUAAAGUGGCACAAUCACCUUGCUGCAACCUUGACCUCCUAGGCUCAAGCAGUCCUUCCAACUCAACUUCCCAAGUAGCUGAGACUACAGGUGGAUUUUCCAGGCACUAUGUAGGAUCUCACUGGCAGCCAAACCAGUAGACAUCACAGCUGAGAACUAAAGAUGCUGAACUUCAGGUCAUCCCGGGGAAGUAGCUUUCCACCAGCUGCUAUGGGCUGUACAGGACCAGGAAUGGGCUGAGGUGAUCCUUACACAGUGGUGUGAUCCUGAGUGAGAUCUCCUGAGGUUUUAACUGUAGGUACCUUACUCUGUUUACUCGAGUUUCAGCCCUGUUGAUGAAUCCCUCCAAAGCAUUUCUUGGCAUUCCUUUAGACCAUUUGUAGUUUUGUUGGGAGUACACAGGAGAUAGUCAGAGGAGAUUAGAAGAGUGUGUUAGCUUUGAAAAAAGUGCUGAAUGAUGAUCUAAGUGAGUUCUUCAUGAGUUUCAGGACAUAAUUUGCUUUGCCGCAAUGCUAUAAAAAUAGCUUCAUAGAGAAUAAGAAGCUUGAAGGACAUAUAGGAUUUUAAUAAUGCCUGGAAGCUGGUAUCUUCAAAUCAAACAAUGCAAAAAGAUGGAUGAUGUAAAAAGUACAAUAAGUACUAUUGUGUAUAAUUUAGAAACUUCAGCGAAAACAUGAAUUAGAAGCCUGACUAUACCUCUUACUGGCUGUGUAGCAUGGAGCAAAUUACAGCCUCUCUGAACUUCUAUUUCCUUGUGGGUUGUUGCGAUGAUUAGAAAUAACCUACAUAAAAUGACUUACUUUGUGCCAGGCAAAUGCCCUGGACUCACUAAAUGAUUCUACACUUAUUAUCAUUGUUUCUUGAUUAAUGCAAAUCUAACCACCAUCAUCUCAGCAGGCCUUAUGUUAGCACUCACAUGACAGACAUCAGAAAUCAAAAUUGACCUUAGCAAUGAUUUAGUCCAGUCGCCUCAUUUUCCGGAGAAAAUUAAUGCCCAGAGAAAUUAAAUGACUUGCCCUAGGUUACAGGGCCAGUUGGCAGCAGUGACAGCAUCAGCCACAGAACAUAUGAUUUCUUACUCUGGUUCAGAAUACUUUUCAUUUCAGAUCACUUCAUUAAUAGCAGUACCCGUAUCUUAAACAUGUAUUUUUAAAUGUAUACUAAUUGCAUAUGAACAGUCAAUGAACUGAAAUAGAUGGAAUUAAAUUAAGACUAAGUGCUGUGCUAGUGCUACAAAUUUACACUUAGAACAACUCUGAUGUACAAAUAAUUGAAGGUUCUUGGUUGUCUUGCACACAAAUCUAAUCUUCCUCACAAGCCCUGACCCUGACAGAGAAGGAAUUCAUGGUGGAGAAUUUAACUGGCUAAUUAAUAGUAUCUUACACUCUGAUUUAAUUUUUUUUUCAAGAAGGGGAUUUGUUUAAUAGAUUGCCACUUAUAAGUCCCAAAAUGGCAAAUGAGAAUGCGGAUAGGGGACACAAGGGGACCACUUGCCCUUGCAGAAGUGGAGAAGAGAUGGGGGACUGCUGGGGUGUACUUUGUCCCCUGGUUCCUCCCAGAUCUUUGCUGUAGGAUGUCUUGUUUGUUUGUUUAUUUGUUUAUGUAUUAAUUUUAAAUUUAAUUUAAUUUAUUUAUGGAGACAAAGUCUCACUCUGUUGCCCAGGCUGGAGCGCAGUGACAUGAUGUGGGCUCACUGCAACCUCCACCUCCUGGGUUAAAGUGAUUCCCCUGCCUCAGCCUCCCGAGUAGCUGGGAUUACAGGUGUCUGCCACUAUGCCCAGCUGAUUUUUGCAGCUGCCACUGUAGCUGGUGAUGUUUUGCAUUUUCAGUAGAGACGGGGUUUCACCACGUUGGCCAGGCUGGUCUUAAACUCCUGACUUCAGUUGAUCCGCCCGCCUCAGCCUCCCAAAGUGCUGGGAUUACAAGUGUGAGCCACCAUGCCUCGCUGGAUGUCUGGUUCAUUCCUGAGAUUUUUAUGCUGUGUUCUGAGCUACAACAUAUAUUUUUGACUUGUUCUAAUGGAUACUUCAGGAGCUGGUUGUGCUCUUUUUUUGUUUUCAAAACCACCGCCUAUUAGCUGCCCAACUAGGCUAUUUAUUUUGUGGCUUCAGCACUGUGACCACCUCAUCUC